rnacentral:misc_RNA from 1 species
UGUAUGAGUAUCAUCUGAUGUCAUUAUAACAAAAGGAAUCUCUGUUUGACUUUCCCCUGCAAGUCUAUUGCUAGCUUCUUGAAGAGCCAAAACAUAUUCAAUGUAACUCUGUAAGAAACAUGUUCCUGUAGUAGUUUCUGCUGGAAGAGCCACCUUAAUUCCAUUAUAUCCUAGCCGCUCUCCAAGCCCACCAGCAACAAGAACAAAUGCAGCCUUUCGGGCUUCCUUUACACCUCUGUCCUCAAAGCUGACAAAG